rnacentral:precursor_RNA from 15 species
CGAGGUGUUGGCAUGAUGCAGAGUGUCCCCAAAGUCUUACUGCAGUUUGAGGUUUAUUAAAGCUUAAAACGGCACUAAGACUUUUGGGACAACUCUGUGUGACUACGAAAAUCAGU